AGAAACAACACAUACACGAAUUGAUUGAAAACAAGUCUAGAUACAAUUAUACAAAGACCCAUGUGAGCAUUUAUUUAAUUUGUGUUUUAAAAACAAUAUCAAUGAAGUAGAGGAAAACAGAUCUGGGUAGUUGGGAUUGAAGCCAUCCAAACCCAACAACCUCGAGAUCUGUAUAAUCCCUAAGAAAAACACAAAAACACACAAAUGAGAGAGAAAGGAACAACAAGAAGAAGAAAAUAGAUAGACAGAUAGAAAGAUUUUGAUAAUGAAUGUGAGGUUGCGGGGUCCUUUCCCCCUCACAUCAGUCCAAGAAACUAUUCUUCAAAAUCCUAAAGCAAAAACUAGCAAAAACAAUAAUAUAUUCAUGCAAAGCCAUUAAGAAAACUUGAAAUCUUAUGCUAUUACAAUGAUGAUAAUCAUUUUCUAUGAUAUCCAUUCUACCAAACAGACCCUAAGGAGGCCCAAGGCCCAUGGAUUAGCUUUGAUAUGAGUUGGGUCAAACAGAAGGAAGCAGCAUCUUGUAUCUGCGCUUUUGCCGCUUUAUAGUUCACCAGUGGGCUUCGUAUGAUCAAAUGGAUAUGUAUUCAAAUGAAUCUGACUAUAUAAAACAUCUCGCACAUGGGCCAAAUAGUUCAUGAGUGGGCUGAUAAGCUAGGAAAUGUAUGACAUAAUCUUAGUCGUCAACUGAACUUUGGGCUUACCCCAAAAGUUUAGGGUCCAGUUUAAGGCUUAGGGGUACCCCGUGCUAUGAUGCGACAUUUAUUUCUUGUACAUUCCAAAACGUACCCGUGACUUAGUUUCUUCAAUCACCGUUAGGAAAAAUAGAUUAAUGUUUCAUACUCUUAGUUAUUCAAAAAGAUAAAGAGUUAAAAAGAUACUCUUUGGUCAUGGAAUCUUAAAAGAUCACCAGGAGAUAUCUUGUUUCACCAUAGUUUAUAACAAUACCAGUCCAGCUGUGAUGAAGCACUAGAAAAAUUAAUUCAUUAAUCCUUGUGGAUGAGACCAGGAACAAGCAUGAUACAGUGAUACACGCAGAUCUUACCCAUUUACAUACUAUGCAGAGAGACCACAAUAUAUACACACAUUAUCCCCACAUAUUAUAUUAUGUGGAGGUGACUGUUUCUAAAAAUUGAAUUGUAGAUUCGCCUCUUUAUAUACAGUGCAAUGCUCAUGUUUGUAUUCAUUCGUAAUACUUUUAAGAGUAACCAAAAAAAAAACCUAAAUAAAAUUGAAAUUUGAAUUACAAGACUAAAGAUGGGAGUACAACUGUACAAGUCGUAAAUCAGAUUUUUUCAGACACCCGAGAAAUACUUCUAGGAGUUUGACAUAGUACAAUGAGGUUGUUGUAGAACAGAUGGGAGUACAACUGUACAAGUGGUACUCCAUCUUCAGCAAUCAUGGAAACGAAAAUGAAUCUGUACUGUUUUGUAGUACAAUUGAAGGAAGUACCAGAUAAUGUGGUUCUCUAUAUAAAUAACAUAACAUGGAAUCACCCUUUACCACUACAAUCUACAUCCUGUUUAGGGCAGAAUGUGUAUCAGUAUAGACAGAUGUAAAAAAACAGAGACAGACGUGGAGAACUCCUACAGGAGCGACCUGAGAACACAUGCCUGCUAUGGUCAUGUGUUCUCAGGUCGCCCCUGCUGGGCUUUCCUCUACCACUAGAUCAUGUUGCUGUGACAUCAUUGUGGGAUGAUCAGAUAACCGCUGUUCGAUCACGAGUUUGGACACAAGUACGAAAUGCAGGAUCAUGCAAGUCAAAGGAAAUACAGAUGGAUUUCUCUCCACAAAUGUCUGAGCAACUUCAUGCCAGAAUAUAGAAUGAGCAUGCUGAAAUUUGAAUCCAAGAGCCCCAAAUCAGUCCAACAGCCCAAUUCCUUAUUAUUAUGACCAAGAAUGCAGGCCCAAAUUAAAAAAAAGUGCUCAGAGCCCAGAUUGCAUCAUAAGAAGCUCAAGGCUGUGUUUUUAAACCUAAUGAGGCUUUAGGGAAUGGGGGCAUCCAAAUAUGCAGGGGUAUCACAUGUCCUAAGGAUAGUAUUCUGGCUCUUAGUUGUGCUGGUACAUCAUCUGUCGAGCAAAACUACAUAUGCACAACUAACAAAUGCUCACAGAUGAUUUAUCACAGUUCUAACUAUUACGCAAAACAUGUGAGGCCAAAACACCCAACAAAUAAGAAUACAGACUGCAAGAAAAAAUGUAGAAAGUAGCAUAACGUACCUCUGGAGUCUUGUCACCCCGGAAAUCUUCAUAGAAGAAUGUCAGGAAUAGAGAAUGAGUGGCAAUCAGAUGUCCAGAAUCCUUACAGAAGACUGAGUGGCAAUCAACUCUUCUUGGCCAACAUUCUUACAAACGCAAUUUAUCAUCAGAUGUCCAGCACGGCAGCACCUAAUAAUGAAAAUUUUUACCAUCUGAUUCACAAGUGACUACAGUUCCCUUCAUCCACUUCCAACUCAGGUUCUCCUUCUACUCAUCUCAGAACCUUCAUUGCCCAAUAUAUAUCAGAGCUAGUUUCUGUUCUGCCACUACAUCGGUCAAGUACCCAAGUCUCUUUCCUUUUUGAUGCGCCUCUAAACUUUUCAUGGCCACCAUCAAAGCUGAGAACAGGAAAACAGCAAGAAGAUCCAAGGGCACGAGGGAACAUGCCAAAUUGCCAAUAGCACAUUCCAAGCUUUUGCCACAACCCAUCUAUCUGAAUUUCUCAUUUUCAUCUGUUGACUUAACUUUGCUUUUCAUUCGGCGAAGUUUAACCAACUCUAGCUUCCCAGCUGCAUGACGGAUAGAUACAUCUUGCAGAAGAUUGACUCUGGCUUCCGUGAUAUCUGAGUUCAAUAAACAUUUACUACAUUGAGUUUUUGGAGUUUUUCCAAGACAGUUCUGCAACCUAUCAGCUGUGCAAGAAGAAGGGCUGAAUCCAUAAGCUGGUGUUUGCCAUAAGCUGAUACCACCAGAAGACAUUUAUGUUGGAGCUCCUUCAAAACUGCAUUUGGUAUAUUUAUUUUUAAUGAAAUGACGUCGUUCUCAGCUGCAGAAUGUUUGGAGCAUUGAGGCGCUUUAGAUCAACAAGAUGUCCCACAAGCCAUGAAAACAUAGAUGAAAGUUGUUCAA